UGGUGGUUAUUCUUCCAGGUUAUUUUUCCUAUAUAUUUUUAUAGCAUUUAAAAAGCAGGAUGAGAAAUUCGCUGUAAAGGAGAAGGGAAAGGCUUGGCUUUAUUCCUAGAGCAGCCUGGUUCCGUUCCUUUUGGGGCAAUGAAGCCAGACCUGUAUUCAGGUAGAGUACCAUAUAACAGCGAUCUUUCACAAGUGUAGAGUGACUUCUCUACGCAAAGACUUACAGAGGCCAUUCCUCUCUCAGCCAUGGCAGCUUUCUCUCCUCCAUGCACUGAAAAACAUUGGACGUUUUACAACUUGUUCUAUUAGGCAAAUCUUAUACUUAACUAGUACAUUGUUUUUUUAAUUUUAGUUGAUUGAAUUACUUAUGAAUUAUCUAAGAAUUACAACCCAAUGUGACAACUGACUUCUUGUGGGAUGAGGAAACCGAUUUCCCGAGCAAUGAAGAGAUGUGUGGAUGAUUACACGGUUGAAUUUUUCACACAAGAGCAUAAAUAAGUCAUCUAACAGAUCAGAAUCUUUUCUACUUUUAAAGAGUCCCUGAAGAAAACGAUUAUACACAAAGUUCAGCCAUUUUUUUAAAAACUUUUAAUUGCGAUAAAAAGAGAUAUAAAUUUACUACCUUAAUCAUUCUUAAAUCUACAGUUCAGUAGUGUUAAGUAUAUUCACAUUCGUCCAUGCUUUCUUGCUUAAACCUAUUUCGAAAUCACCCUUUUAAGACUAAAAGCCAUACUAUUCUAUUAAAGGGCUCAGUUGUCAUUUUUGUACUCUUGGAGUGACAGGUCUAAGAUGUGAAACAAUAAAUAAUGGAUGAAGGCUGGUAAUUUUGUAACUGUUACCUCCAUACCAAAUCCUAUAAAAUACCAGUGUGAAAUUACACUUAAAAGGCCAAGAGUAACUGCUGUAGCAAUUGUAGCCAAAUCAUUGAAUAAGGUCAUCAUAUCCUUUAUUUUUUAUAUACUGCAAUGAGACGAAAGAGAAACAUUCUUUGCACAGGCCAUGUGAAUUAUUUUGUUUUGUGAUAAAACACAGUUUUUGCAUUUCUUUCUGGCAAAGGAAGAUUUAAUUUCCAUGUCUUUUAUAAAUUUUAACGUUAUUAUAAAACCAUCAUGAAGACAUUUUCCCUAACUUUUUUAUUAUAGAAGCCUAUGGAUACAAGGAAUACUUGGUUUUGAUUGGUUGUUAGCAUAUGGGGGUGGGCCUUAGGUAUAGCUGAUUUAAUUAUUGUCUCAAAUAUUCUUCACAAAGACAUACAUUGGGGCUGGACUCUAGACAAUCACACUGGGUGGGGUCUCUGGGGUUAGAAUGGAUUCUAAUCAAUCUUUUUCCAAUGUUCCUGAGAUACACUUUAAUUCAAACAAUAAACAUAUUUAUGAGCUCCUA